GAUCCUGGCUCAGAUUGAACGCUGGCGGCAGGCUUAACACAUGCAAGUCGAGCGGGGAAAGGUAGCUUGCUACCUGACCUAGCGGCGGACGGGUGAGUAAUGCUUAGGAAUCUGCCUAUUAGUGGGGGACAACAUCUCGAAAGGGAUGCUAAUACCGCAUACGUCCUACGGGAGAAAGCAGGGGACCUUCGGGCCUUGCGCUAAUAGAUGAGCCUAAGUCGGAUUAGCUAGUUGGUGGGUAAGGCCU
rnacentral:rRNA from 1 species